GACGAACGCUGGCGGCGUGCUUAACACAUGCAAGUCGAACGGAAAGGCCCUGCUUUUGUGGGGUGCUCGAGUGGCGAACGGGUGAGUAACACGUGAGUAACCUGCCCUUGACUUUGGGAUAACUUCAGGAAACUGGGGCUAAUACCGGAUAGGAGCUCCUGCUGCAUGGUGGGGGUUGGAAAGUUUCGGCGGUUGGGGAUGGACUCGCGGCUUAUCAGCUUGUUGGUGGGGUAGUGGCUUACCAAGGCUUUGACGGGUAGCCGGCCUGAGAGGGUGACCGGCCACAUGGGGACUGAGAUACGGCCCAGACUCCUACGGGAGGCAGCAGUGGGGAAUAUUGCACAAUGGGCGGAAGCCUGAUGCAGCAACGCCCCGUGCGGGAUGACGGCCUUCGGGUUGUAAACCGCUUUCGCCUGUGACGAAGCGUGAGUGACGGUAAUGGGUAAAGAAGCACCGGCUAACUACGUG
rnacentral:rRNA from 1 species